AUUGUUGUUGUUUUUUUUUAUUAUUAUUAUGUGGAAAGAAAAAUUUAAAAAAAAA
rnacentral:ribozyme from 9 species